GAAUUUGGUUUGGUUCGUAAGAAAAAACUUCUAAUUUUUUUAUACUUUUUCUUAAAAUAAUUUAUGGUAGAAAAUUCACUUUAUUUAAUAAUAAAAAAUUAUUAAGAAUUAGAAAAAUAAUCUAGCUAAAUUUGUGCCAGCAGCAGCGGUUAAACAAAUAGAAAAAUUCUUUUUUUAAGAAAUUUAACAAGACAUAUUAAAACUUUAUUGAAAAUUAAGGUGAAAUUUAUUUUUAAAAAUAAUGUAAAUAUAAUUGAAAUUCUAAAAUUAAACUAGGAUUAGAUACCCUAUUAUUUAAGAGCUUAACAUUGUAAGUAAAUAAAGAUUAUGAAAGCAAAAAAUUAUGGCGGUAUUUUAAGCUUUUCAGAGGAAUUUGCUCUUUAAUGGAUAAAACACCUAAAUCUUACUUAAAUUUGUUAAUUCAAUUUGUAUACCACUAUAAAAACAAUUUAUAACUUUAAUUGUUGGUAUUUAUUAAAUUAAAAUAUAUUAAGUCAAGGUGCAGUAAAAAUUUAAGGAUGAAGUGAAUUACAUUACUUUUUAGAGAAAUAAAUUUAAAAUAAUAUUUAGGAUUUGAAAGUAAAAUUAAAAUAUAAUGUUAAUUUGAAUUAAGCUCUAAAAUAUGUACAUAUCGCCCGUCACUCUUUUACAAGAUAAGUCGUAACAAAGUUAAAGUACUGGAAAGUG
rnacentral:rRNA from 1 species